rnacentral:misc_RNA from 1 species
UGGAAUUUUGACGGCUAGAUCGAUACCUUUAAUUUUUGCUGUUAUUUACAUAUUCUGUUACAGUAUAUGUACUAUUUAUCAAUAAAAAUAGCUUACCAUAAUGAUGGAACCUAUUCCUAGCAUCGAAGUUAUUACAAAACCUAUGAAAGACCCGUAUAUGCUCAGGGCAUGUCGAACUUGCUUAGCGACGGAAGCAAAACUGUUUGAUUUACACGAAAAUGGAUUUGCUGACUCUCUUGGCAGUAUUGCUGGGACCCCGGUGUCACUCACAGAUGGUCUACCGCAGUACAUCUGCUACUACUGCAUAGCGCUGCUCAAGAAGUCUUCGGAGUUCCGUCUGCAAUGCAGGAAGGCGCACUUCUUUCUCCAGGACACCCUUCUGCAGAAACUGGAGGCCACAACAGAAUGCAUAAGCUGUCUCGACCGCACACACUUCGCUAAGCCUUUAACCGUAGCAAAAGUGUUUGUAGAUUCAAAAUAUUGGGAUAGUAAUGGGUUUCCAAUAGACUUUAAAUAUGAUGAACCGACAGCGGUCCCAGAGAUGUCCGAUAUUAAAGUAGAAGCGUUGUUACUGGAUGAAACUGACAAUGAUGAUCAGAUGGACAACUGUGAUGAUCAUUUUGACUACGAUCAUCUAGACAAUGAUGAUAUGAUGAAAACUGAUGACAAAUCUGAAAAGGAACUCGAUGACGUCAACGAUUCAAACGAAGGCAUCAUGGACAUCAUACAGAUAUGCGAAAAGAAGAAAGACAAAAAGAAAAAGAGUUCGACUAAAAAGAAGGAACGGACGAAAAGAGAACGAAAAGUGGUGAAGGUGGCAAAGGAAAGGAAGAUAGCGCAGAAGAAAGAGCCAGUUAGCAAAAGAAAGAAGGAAAACAAUCUAUCGGCCGACGGGAUUACAAUAACAACUCACAAUAAAUACAAUCAGAAGUUAGAAGAAGAUUUUGUUAUGUUUUCAAAGAUGUACAAUGUUGAAGUUGUGUUUCUAACCAAGGAGCAGCAACAGAAGAAUGUUGAAGACAGAAAGAACAGCAAGCAGUACAAAAAUAGUUUGUUCUCUUGUGACUUGUGCUUCAAAGGGUUUAUGUCAGAGCAGGCUUACAAAAGGCACAUGAAAGGACACGACCCGAGCCGUGGUAACCUGGAGUGCGAUGUGUGCCACUACCGGUUCAACAACAAGCAGACCAUGUACGGCCAUAUGCAGCAUCACAAGAGGGAGUACAUCUGCAAGAUAUGCAACCAGCUGAACAAGUCCACAUCGAGAGCAAAAUUACAUUUCAAGUGGCACGAGGGCCAGAAAUUUGAAUGCACUUAUUGUAAUAAAAAAUUCAAUUUCAAAAGCACCCACGUGAACCACGUGAGGGAGAACCACGCGGUGGUCACGUGUAACGUCUGCGGGGGGACACUGGAGGGGACCAACGCACUCGCCAAACACAAAGCUGAGAUGCAUUCCAAGAUAACACAGUGUCCAACUUGUGAGAUUGAGUUCUGUAGCGUGGAAGCUUUGAACUCUCACCGAAGCACAGAGGACGGUUGUAACACUGAAAUGAGGCCGUGUCUUGCGUGCGGCCUCAAUUUCCUGACUCCCGAUGAGCUGGACCGCCACUUGCUGGAGGCCAAACACAAGGAGCUUAUAUUCAAAUGUCAGUCGUUCCAGUGCAGCGCGACGUUCACGUCGGAGCGCAAGCUGGGUGCGCACCGCUCCGUGAUCCACGGCGAGCGCCAGCCGCGCGGCGAGUACCCGCGCGUGCGCCGCCCGCCCGCGCCCCCCGCCGCCGGCGCACAUCUCAUGUGCGAGUUCUGUGCCAAGAGCUACCCCACAGCCGUUCAGCUGAAGUAUCAUCAGCGCGUGCAUACAGACGAGAAACCAUAUCGAUGCCCGCUCUGCGUGAAGAGUUUCCGCACAUUAGCUGGACUGAAGGUUCACGUGAACACCCACACAGGCGAGAGGCCGUUCAAGUGUCGCCUGUGUCCGGAGACAUUCAAGUCCUACUCGCAAAAAUACAAACAUCGACUCAUGGUACACACAAAGGAGCGACCACACAAAUGCCACAUGUGCGACAAAUCCUACUUCGUCUCCUGCGAUCUCAAGAUGCAUAUACAGUUCGCGCACAUGCACGUCCCGCGCCCGCACAGGAACAGAAACAGAAACAAAAACAUAUGCAAAUAACACCAAAAUAACAUUAAUAUAUGGUCAUUAUAACACACGAAGAUGGACGAAAUUGGCUAUCGGACAGAUAACCGUCACUAAUUAUCACGAUAUUGGUUUUUAGUGAUGACGAAACGGUGAUGGUUCGUACGAUGUAGAAGGUAAACCAUCACUUAAUAUCACCGUAUUGGUCAUUAGUGUUGACGAAACGGUGAAAGACAGGAAACCGUCACUUAAUAUCACGAUAUUGGUCAUUAGUGAUGACGAAAUGGUGAUAGACAAUAAACUACCACUUAAAAUAUCACGAUAUUGGUCAUUAGUAAUGACGAAACGAUGAUGGACAAUUAACCAUAACUUAAAUUAUCACUAUAUUCCUCAUUAGUGAUGACGAAAAGGUACUAGACAGUAAAUCAUCACUUAAUAUCAAGAUGUUGGUCAUUAGUGAUGACGAAGUGGUGAUAGACAAUAAACCAUUACUUAAAAUAUCACGAUAUUUGUCAUUAGUGAUAACGAAAAGGUACUAGACGGUAAACAAUAACUUAAUAUCACGUUAUUGGCCAAUAGUGAUGGCGAAACGGUGAUGAUUAUUAUGAUUGACCUAGAAAAUAUAAUUGCUUAUCAUCAGCCGGAAAUUAUCCACUGCUGGACAUAUGCCUCCCAUAAGGCUUUCUUUUCUAUAAAGGACUUUCCAGGCUACAUUCAUCAAAAACAAUAUAGAUGGCGCUGUACAGAUUUCCAUUCGUUUUUCUAAGUUCAUAGAUAAUAGACAUAUGCAUCUUUUAUCUUUGUUUUUGGGUAUAAAUGAUGACCCUUGUUAUUACACCCAGGCUCAACACAUGUUCCACCAAAAUAAAGAAGCAAUAUCAAGCAAUAAUUUUGAUAUAUACCUCGGCCAUUACAUUAUAUUUGUGAAAAAUUAUGUAACCGAACAAUGAGAAAAAAGUAAUUAUCACGUAAAAUCUGUACAACGCAACGCUAUAUAGAUAGCGUUGUUUUUAGGGAACGUAGCCUAGAAGCCCCCACAUUAUUGUUUGUAAAUAUAAAUAAGUUACGGACUUUGUAAAUAAAUAUUAAAUACCAUGUC